GCAUUGACAAUUCACGCUGGCGCGCACGUCACGUUAAUAGGAAAGUCUAAGCCAUGUCACAAAAAAGGAUGUAUCCCUCUGGUGCAGAAAAAAGAAAACGAAAGAGGAAGAGAAAAAAGAGCAAGAUAAAGGAACACUGUUGAAGUACUUUGGAGAACAACCAACUUUACCUUCCCCUAAUGUUUCAUCUAGUGUCAGUGCCUCCACAGCUGAUGAUGCAGCAGGUUCAUCCGCUGCACAAGCGAUUAAAAGCGAGGAGCAGUUACAAGCACCUACAUUCACCGAUGCGUUGAUUUCAAAAUCAGCCGGCAUGACAGGUCCUUCUACAUCUGCACCCACUGCUAUAGAUUUACCAUCCACUGCCUCAACAAGCUCCAGCUACCAAGAUAGAUCAACAGCUCCUCCAAUUGACCCAGUUGAAUGGUCAGCAUUCCUCUCAGACUUAGAAAGGACUGAACUGGUAAGAAGAGGGCCAGAUCUAAUCAGUGACACCUCUACAUUCCCCAAGAAAUCAGAUGGACGAAGCUUUCACUACCACUAUACAUACAGACAAUUAGUUAAUGGG